GACAAUAGCCUAACGGCUGAACCAGCAAUUUGGGGGAAUGUAUAGCAUAUGCUAAUUGUAUAUUAAAUACAAUAUCGACUAUGUCGAAUAAAGUUCUAGAUAGAAUACUGAUAAUGACAAUUUUCUAUCUAUAUGUCUUGACCAAAUCACGUGCCAGCAGUCGCGGUAAUACGUGGAAGACUAGUGUUAUUCAUCUUUAAUAGGUUUAAAGGGUACCUAGACGGUAUUUCUAGCCCAAAUAGGGUACGGAUUUACUAGAGUUUAAUGUAAGAAGAAAAAAUUAAAAGUAAGGCCAAGUUUCUUUUUAAUAAAAAAAAAUUUGGGUAAUUAACUUUUUGUAGUACUUGAGGUGUAGAGAUAAAAUUUUGUAAUACUUUAAGGAAACUGAUAAUGCGAAAGCAACCUUCUAUGUAUAAACUGACGUUGAGGGACGAAGGCUUGGGUCGCGAAUAGGAUUAGAUACCCUAGUAGUCCAAGCAGAAAAUUAUGAAUGCCAUAGAUCAGAUUUAUUUUGGUUUAUAAAUGAAAGUGUAAGCAUUCCACCUCAAGAGUAAUGCGGCAACGCAGGAACUGAAAUCAUUAGACCGUUUCUGAAACCAGUAGUGAAGUAUGUUAUUUAAUUCGAUAAUCCGCGAAAAACCUUACCACAAUUUGAAUAUUAAAAAUUACAAGCGCUGCACGGCUGUCUUCAGUUAAUGUCGUGAGAUUUUGGUUAGUUCCAUUAAAUUAACGUAAACCCUUGCUUUAUUUAUAAUAUAUAUAUAUAAAGUAGUUCACCGCUAUAUUGGAUAUGAUAAAAGGGAAUAAGACAAGUCAUCAUGGCCUUAAUAUUGUGG
rnacentral:rRNA from 1 species